AUUGAACGCUGGCGGCAGGCCUAACACAUGCAAGUCGAACGAGUGGCGGACGGGUGAGUAAUGUCUGGGAAACUGCCUGAUGGAGGGGGAUAACUACUGGAAACGGUAGCUAAUACCGCAUACCAUCGGAUGUGCCCAGAUGGGAUUAGCUAGAAGGUGGGGUAACGGCUCACCUAGUCGACGAUCCCUAGCUGGUCUGAGAGGAUGACCACCCACACUGGAACGGAGACACGGUCCAGACUCCUACGGGAGGCCGCAGUGGGAAAUAUUGCACAAUGGGCGCAAGCCUGAUGCAGCCAUGCCGCGGGUAUGAAGAAGGCCUUCGGGUUGUAAAGUACUUUCAGCGGGGAGGCGUUACCCGCAGAAGAAGCACCGGCUAACUCCGUGCCAGCAGCCGCGGUAAUAU
rnacentral:rRNA from 1 species